UUGGAGGGCAAGUCUGGUGCCAGCAGCCGCGGUAAUUCCAGCUCCAAUAGCGUAUAUUAAAGUUGUUGCAGUUAAAAAGCUCGUAGUUGAAUUUCGGGGUUCUACCGUCGGUCGGGCUACCAAGUCUGUACUGGUGUGUAGAACUUCUACCUUCUGGGGAACCAUCAUGUUAUUAAUUUAGCGUGGUGGGAAACCAGGACCUUUACCUUGAAAAAAUUAGAGUGUUCAAAGCAGGCUUAUGUCUGAAUACAUUAGCAUGGAAUAAUAGAAUAGGACGGUGGUCCUGUUUUGUUGGUUUCUGAAUCACCGUAAUGAUUAAUAGGGAUAGUUGGGGGCAUUAGUAUUCAAUUGUCAGAGGUGAAAUUCUUGGAUUUAUUGAAGACUAACUUCUGCGAAAGCAUUUGCCAAGGAUGUUUUCAUUAAUCAAGAACGAAAGUUAGGGGAUCGAAGACGAUCAGAUACCGUCGUAGUCUUAACCAUAAACUAUGCCGACUAGGGAUCGGACGAUGUUAAAUUUUAUUGACUCGUUCGGCGCCUUACGGGAAAC
rnacentral:rRNA from 1 species